rnacentral:lncRNA from 11 species
GCAGUGCCUACAAAAGGCACACUGCCAAUGCAUGCUGCAGUAUGCAUUAAAGAAAGUUGCAAGGAUGUCCAGGUUAAGGCCUUUAAUGUGCUGCAACAGAUCCCAAUAUAUCCCACAUCCCAGGGUGAUCAGUUUUUCGAUAACAAAAUCACAUAACAAGAAUGCACAGAAAUACUAGUGGAGCUAGAUUAUUUUCAUGUGUAAAUCCUGGAGUUACUGCUAGUCCAUGCAGACCGAGGGUAGACUUCAUGAGGCUACAUGUAGCUCUGAAGCUUUCCUCUUGAAUUUUACAUUGUAGCCAAGCAAAUGUUGAAAUCACCAAAUGUACAAGAAGAUCCCAAUGGAAGCAAAGCGACAAUAUCAGCAGACCCCACAAGAUGGCACACAAGAGUAUUUUUCUCUUUUUAGGAUGACCCGGAGAAGAAGAGUUUCUGUUUCAUUUAGUUUCUCACUUUUCUCCUGAUUACUGUUCCUUCCUAUUUCUAGCUAAAGUUGCAAGGCUCUGCUUAUCUGCUGAGGGUGAAACUGGGUAAGAUUGUACACAAUCAGUGGCAUACCAGUAUUGAAGAAUACACUUUCCUUUGGAAAUGGAAUCAGAUUCAGAAACCAAAUCCUUGAUCAUUCACAUUGACAACAAGGCAUACGAAGAUGUUAAAGUGACUGCUAGUGCCAGACCUUUCUUCAAGUUGCUGGAUGGCAACGUGAUUUUCUUCUGGUACAAAUGGCUAGCAUCAAUCAUCUCCACAAAAGUUCGCGCUAAAAAGAGAAAAAAUGUAAAUGAAGUUACCAAUAUGAAUUUCAUCACCUACCUAUUUGGAAAAUGUGGACUGAAGCUUUACAACAUCACUGUAGUCAGACCAUCAGAUGGAUAUAUUGCUGAAUGUUCAACUCCAUUGUGCUGUACUUGGGUAAUUGAAGAGAAGGGAAUAUAUCAAGAAGAAAAUCCUACAAACCACUGCAAAUUCAAGUCAAUGUCUAAUAGUCUGAUAGGAAAGAGAAUUAAUUGUGAUUCCAUUGUAUAAGCCAAAUUAUUUUGUGCAAUAUGACUGCUACAAUUGGUUUUAUUUCAACAUAUGCAGUAGAGUCUCACUUAUCCAACAUAAACGGGCCGGCAGUACAUUGGAUAAGCAAAAAUGUUGGAUAAUGAGGGAUUAAGGAAAAGCUAUUAAACGUUAAAUUACGUUAUGAUUUUACAAAUUAAGCACCAACACAUUCAUGUUUUGCAACAAAUUGACAGAAAAAGUAGUUCAAUACAUGGUAAUGUUAUGUAGUAAUUACUGCAUUUAUGAAUUUAGCACCAAAACAUUGCAAUGUAUUGAAAACAUUGACUACAAAAAAAUGGGCUACUAACAAAUUGACUACAAAUAAAGAUAGAAUUGCAUAAAAUGAACUUACAGUAACAACAUUGUCGGAAAUUAAAUCCAUAAAAAGUUCAAUCUUUGCUGCCUAGAGAAACAGCUGUGGAUCUGGGCAAGAGACAAAUUGCAUUGGAUAAUCCAGAAUGUUGGAUAAGUGAAUGUUGGAUAAGUGAGACUCUACUGUAUUAGCUAUACCCUGUUGUUUUUCAGAAAAAGAAAAAAAAUGAUGCAUUUGUCGGCCUCCCUGAGCUGUUGAAGAAUUCUCCACUGCAGAGUAUUUGACACUCCAAAUCUGAAGAAUAAUUAAGCUUUAUUAUUUUUUUCAUAUUGCUUGAUAACAGUGUAAUCGGCUGGUGAGUAGGGGCUUAGAAUAAACUAUUCGUUCCAUUAGCCUUUGGGCCAUACUAUGCUGAAAUGAAAUACAGUAGAGUCUCACUUAUCCAAGAUAAACGGGCCGGCAGAAUGUUGGAUAAUAAGGAGGGAUUAAGGAAAAGCCUAUUAAACAUCAAAUUAGGUUAUGAUUUUACAAGUUAAGCACCAAAACAUCAUGUUAUACAACAAAUUUGGCAGAAAAAGUAGUUCAAUACGCAGUAAUGCUAUGUAGUAAUUACUGUAUUUACAAAUUUAGCACCAAAAUACCACAAUGUAUUGAAAACAUUGACUACAAAAGCAUUGACUACUAAAAGGCAGACUGCGUUGGAUAAUCCAGAAUGAUGGAUAAGCGAAUGUUGGAUAAGUGAGACUCUACUGUAACAAAAUUUACACAAAAAUACAAUAGAAAAUGUUUUAAAUUAACUGAAUUGUUAAAAUAUAUAACAUUACAUAGUAAACAACACGCAUUGCUUAUAAAGUAUACAAUUUUACUAAAAUGACAAAUAACUUAUGAAAAACAUUACUGAUGGAAAAGGGGGAAUAGACUCUUCUUCUUUGGAGACCUUUAGAUAGGGGUUGGUUGGGCAUCUUCCAGAUAUGCUUUAUUUGUGUAUAUAUAAUGUUUUUGCUGCAAUGAAAAUUCUCCCAUAGAAAUGCCAUAUUUUGCAAAAAUAAUCUCAAAAAAUUGCAAAAUUAUAGUUUGAGAAUUCUGACUCACUGUCAUUUCCAGGAAUGGUUGAUGAAAUCUAUCCAUAUGGUUCAAUCAGAAAUUGUGUGGAAAAUAUUGGUUAGACCCUUUCAUUCAGCCAUAGAUUUGGGUUUUCUACAAAAUUGUUUCUGCUUUGCCUUUGUGGAGUAGCUAGGAUGCUUCAUGCUCUCUUAUUAGGUUGGUAACAUUGUGUUCUCUUAAUGCUAAAAUGUGGUGUGUUUGGAUUGGGUAGGGAAUGGGAUGCUUUAAAAUUAGAUGAGCUAGAAGAAAUGUUUGGGGAGUUCACUAUCCUGUUUUUUAGGCAAAAGAGUCCUCAGAACAUAAAAACAUUAAGAACAAAACUUGUAGGAUCCAGUUACAGUAGAGUCUCACUUAUCCAACACUCACUUAUCCAACAUUCUGGAUUAUCCAACACAUUUUUGUAGUCAAUGUUUUCAAUACAUGGUGAUAUUUUGGUGCUAAAUUCGUAAAUACAGUAAUUACUACAUAGCAUUACUGCGCAUUGAACUACUUUUCCUAUCAAAUUUGUUGUAUAACAUGAUAUUUUGGUGCUUAAUUUGUAAAAUCAUAACCUAAUUUGAUGUUUAAUAGGCUUUUCCUUAAUCCCUCCUUAUUAUCCAACAUAUUUGCUUAUCCAACAUUCUGCUGGCCCGUUUAUGUUGGAUAAGUGAGACUCUACUGUAUUAGAUUUGUAGGUGGAUAAGUAGGAUGAUAGAAUCAUAAAGACCAGAAGGGGCAUCUCUUUCAAUCCCUAUCCGUUAUGCACUCCUGACUGAUGGCCUUCGAGCUUCUGUUUAAAAAUUUCCAAAAGAAAGAAGACUCCAGCAGCAGAUAGCAGUCAACUACUUCCUUUAUUAAUUGCUCCUUUUGUAUUCACACUGCACCGUCUCGAUUAUUCAUGUUGCACUCUUGCUUUUUGUAUUUUACAUUGCAUUUUUGUUGAGACCUAAUGCAUAGAAUUUUAAUUUGCAACAAUUUCUGUACUGCACAUUGUAUAUCACUAAGGCAAAAGAUAAAGGUUUUCCACUGACAUUAAGUCUAGUCAUGUCUGACUCUGGGGGUUGGAGCUGGCAAAGCAACUGGGUAGAGACGUCCAAAUGUAAUGUUGGGAAAAAUAGUUAACCCAAAUGUUACGAAAUUGACAUUGCAACCUCCAAUAAGCAAAGAGAGGAGAAGGUUCCCUCAAAAUCAUGCAUGGUUGCCUAUAAGUUUUCUAUUGUGUCAUGAAGGGAUGGCUUCUUGUUAGUUCACUGACAAAUUCCUUGUUUAAAACCUGAGAUUAAUUACUAAAAGCAAAAUGUCUAAGUAACCAAGUAUUACCAUAUUAAAAAAAACACCAGAAUCAAGACAGUAAAUAAAGAACACAACUCAGAAAUGGAAAUUCCAAACAGCAAAUAAUAAA